rnacentral:piRNA from 1 species
UUAGUUGAUAGUUUGGCCUACGUUGUUU